GAAGUUGAUAUUACUAACUUUUGUGAAUAUCUUGAUUGAAGGACACUUGCAUUUAAAGAUGACAAGAGUUGAACAAAUUAAGGAUAUGGUAGAGGAACGGUCCGAAGUAUGACGAUAGGAGCAUGCUCACUAAGGACUAAAUCGCGUAACGACUGCGAACAAGGUUAAUGGCAAGAAACGCCCGUCGGGGCAAGCAUUACCAGUUUGACUCUGACAAGCUAGGUAGGAGCUUGGAAAUGAACGGGUCAAAUGGAUACAAGUUCAAGUAUGAAGCUCGCAAGGAUGCAAGGAGUAGAUAUCCAAUGGAUACUCGCAUCGCUCUUAAUUAGCAAUUAUAAAGCAAGGUAUUAAACCGGGUUAGUAAGUUGAUCCGAGCCAGAUAUGUAUAAUAGAUUAACUCAUCAUGUAGAACUUGAAGUUCUAUGAAAGUUAGGCAAAAUAAAAAAAAGGGCAUUCGGUUACCUUAAUAGGUAAACCUAAGGAUUUAAAUUAUAGACAGAAUGUUUUGAAAACAAGAAUUGGUUAAAAAUGAGAAAUUAGAAUCAAACAACAGGUUUGUUUGAUAAAAUCACGAACGGGUCAAAUUUGGUAAAAAGGGGUAAUAAGCCGAAGACUUAAAAGUCUUAGAUUUUGUUAAUCCAGAUGUUGGGUCUUGACUCCAUUUAAUGGAGGUUCAAUUUACAAUCACGUAGGAAGAAACGGUAGGUCAAACGGACAAGCGGAUUAAAGGUUAUGAAGGUUUCCGUUUUAGAAAUCGGCAAACUUGGAAAAUCUUGCAGAGGCCACCGUAAGUUACGGUAGCUACCGUAACUUACGGUAGCCUUAAAAAUCUUUACGCCUUAAACCCACUGAGUUACGGUGGAAGAAUCAACAUUCAGGGGCUACCGUAAAUUAUGGUAGCCACCGUAAUUUACGGUAGACUCUGUAACAAAAUUUAUUUUAAUCAGUUUCGUUUCCCAGAACUCGUUAGACACGUUUAUAACCCCCGUAAGACUAAAGCAUUUCUUGUUUAUGAA